rnacentral:tRNA from 1 species
AUUUAUAUAGUUUAAUAUAAAAACAUUACAUUUUCAUUGUAAAAAUAAAAAAAUUUUUUUAUAAAUA